rnacentral:rRNA from 1 species
UACGAGAGGCCCAAACGUUAUUCGGAUUUACUGGGCUUAAAGAGUUCGUAGGCGGCGUGGAAAGUGGGGUGUGAAAGCCCUCGGCUCAACCGAGGAAUUGCGCUCCAAACUGCCAUGCUUGAGGGACCUAGAGGUGAGCGGAACUGAUGGUGGAGCGGUGAAAUGCAUUGAGAUCGGAAAGAACACCAACGGCGAAAGCACUCUGCUGGGCCGACACUGACACUGAGAGACGAAAGCUAGGGGAGCAAAUGGG